rnacentral:rRNA from 1 species
UACGUAGGGGGCGAGCGUUGUCCGGAGUUACUGGGCGUAAAAGGGGCGUGCAGGCGGUGCGGUAAGUUUUAGCGUGACAAUCUCCGGCUUAACUGGAGAAGGCCGCUGAAAAACUGCUGGGACUUGAGGGGCCAGAGAGGGGACAUAGAAUUCCGGGGUGGAGUGGUGAAAUGCGUAGAUAUCCGGAGGAAUACCAAAGGCGAAGGCAGUGUCCUGGCUGGCAACUGACGCUGAGGCGCGAAAGCUAGGGGAGCGAACAGG